rnacentral:rRNA from 1 species
CGGUCCAGACUCCUACGGGAGGCAGCAGUGGGGAAUAUUGCGCAAUGGAGGCAACUCUGACGCAGCCAUGCCGCGUGUGUGAAGAAGGCCCUAGGGUUGUAAAGCACUUUCACUUGGGAAGAAAAGCUUGUCGUUAAUAGCGUCAAGCCGUGACAUUACCAUGAGAAGAAGCACCGGCUAACUCCGUGCCAGCAGCCGCGGUAAA